rnacentral:rRNA from 1 species
AUGCCGCGUGUGUGAUGAAGGUCUUAGGAUCGUAAAGCACUUUCGCCAGGGAUGAUAAUGACAGUACCUGGUAAAGAAACCCCGGCUAACUCCGUGCCAGCAGCCGCGGUAAUACGGAGGGGGUUAGCGUUGUUCGGAAUUACUGGGCGUAAAGCGCACGUAGGCGGAUUGGAAAGUUGGGGGUGAAAUCCCGGGGCUCAACCCCGGAACUGCCUCCAAAACUAUCAGUCUAGAGUUCGAGAGAGGUGAGUGGAAUUCCAAGUGUAGAGGUGAAAUUCGUAGAUAUUUGGAGGAACACCAGUGGCGAAGGCGGCUCACUGGCUCGAUACUGACGCUGAGGUGCGAAAGUGUGGGGAGCAAACAGGAUUAGAUACCCUGGUAGUCCACACCGUAAACGAUGAAUGCCAGUCGUCGGGCAGUAUACUGUUCGGUGACACACCUAACGGAUUAAGCAUUCCGCCUGGGGAGUACGGUCGCAAGAUUAAAACUCAAAGGAAUUGACGGA